UACAGAGGGGCAAGCGUUGUCCGGAUUUACUGGGCGUACAGCGCGCGCAGGCGGACUUGGACGUGCCGUGUGGACAACGCCACCGCUCACCGGUGGAGGGCCACGGUACACGACAAGUCUGGGAGGCAGGGAGAGGGAUGUGGAAUGCCCGGUGGAGCGGUGAAAUGCGUAGAGAUCGGGCGGAACACCAGCGGCGAAGGCGGCAUCCUGGUCCUGUUCUGACGCUGAGGCGCGAGAGCGUGGGGAGCGAACUGG
rnacentral:rRNA from 1 species